GAUUUUUUUUUUCCUUUUUUUUGCUUUAAAAUUUUUCAUUUUGAAUUGGUUAUUUCUGAUUUAUAUAUAAAAGCAAAUAAUAAUGAUAUGGUUUGAAUAGGCAUACAUGUGAACCUCCCGACGGGAGUACAAUAAUCCCGUUUUCAGGGGUCUCCUCCCGACCUCCCGUUGAAGAGGAAAAAAUCCCGUGUAUGAAAUUUUUCAUGAAUGAAAAAUUUCUGCCCAACAUAUCAUCUCAGGCAUCUGGUGUAACUGACAUUACCUGCAGUUAUAUUUUACCUGUAAAUCAAUUAACAUGCAUAAUUAUAUGGCUUCACUUGUCAGCUUGGGUGUCAAACAUACAGGUAAUCAACGAUUUUUACCUCAGGCUAACUGCCGUUGUGUAACAAAAACUGUGUAUUUAUUGGGUUACUUCCCUUGAUUUAUCCUGUUUUAAGUUACUUUCCUUUUAAUAAUGAAAAUUUUUAAAAGAAUAUAAAUAAAAUAUAAAUUGAACAAAUAAUCCUAAAAGGAUGGUUAUUAAAUGAUUUUAAAUGUCUUAGGACAAAUAAAAAAAUAAUAAUUUGAAAAUUAUUUGAGGAUUCUAGACUUCCUUUCAAGGCUUAAAUUGAAAUUUAUAUAAUAACUAUGACCCUGAUUUUACAGAUAAAAUGAUUUUCUGAGU